rnacentral:rRNA from 1 species
GAGUUUGAUCAUGGCUCAGGAUGAACGCUAGCGGCAGGCUUAACACAUGCAAGUCGAGGGGCAUCAUUUCGCUUCGGUGAAGAUGGCGACCGGCGCACGGGUGCGUAACGCGUAUAGAACCUACCCAUAACAGAGGGAUAGCCCGAAGAAAUUUGGAUUAAUACCUCAUAUCGUAAUUAAGAGGCAUCUUUUAGUUAUUAAAGAUUUAUUUCGGUUAUGGAUGGCUAUGCGUUGUAUUAGAUAGUAGGUGAGGUAAUGGCUCACCUAGUCUACGAUACAUAGGGGUUCUGAGAGGAAUAUCCCCCACACUGGUACUGAGACACGGACCAGACUCCUACGGGAGGCAGCAGUGAGGAAUAUUGGACAAUGGGCGCAAGCCUGAUCCAGCCAUGCCGCGUGCAGGAAGACUGCCCUCUGGGUUGUAAACUGCUUUUAUACACGAGGAACAGGUUUUUUGCGAAGAGCUAUGACGUUAGUGUAUGAAUAAGCACCGGCUAACUCCGUGCCAGCAGCCGCGGUAAUACGGAGGGGGCUAGCGUUGUUCGGAAUUACUGGGCG